rnacentral:rRNA from 1 species
UACGACUACAUAUCAGGCAUAUCAAUAAGCGGAGGAAAAGAAACUAACAAGGAUUCCCUUAGUAACGGCGAGUGAAGCGGGAAGAGCUCAAAUUUGAAAUCUUCAAGGUUCUACCUUGACGAAUUGUAGUUUAAAGAAGUGUUUUCUGUUAGAUGAGUAGCAAAAGUUCCUUGGAAUGGGACAUCAUAGAGGGUGAGAAUCCCGUAUUUGGUUAUUCAUUCUAGCUUUGUGAUACACUUUCGAAGAGUCGGAUUGUUUGAGAAUGCAGUCCAAAAUGGGUGGUAAAUUUCAUCUAAAGCUAAAUAUUGGCGAGAGACCGAUAGCGAACAAGUACCGUGAGGGAAAGAUGAAAAGAACUUUGAAAAGAGAGUUAAACAGUACGUGAAAUUGUCAAAAGGGAAGCGUUUGACACCAGUGUUGUUUUUCCGAAAGUCAAUUACGAAUGGCUUGAUUUUGUGUUGUAUUGACCUUAUCAGCUUUCUUCACUUUUUUCGAGUCUUUCUUAAUGCACUUUUCGGUUAACAAGUCAACAUCAAUUUCUUUUGUUGUAAAAGAGUAUUCGGAAGGUGGCUUUCUUUUCGGAGAAAGUGUUUAUAGCCCUAUACUUCUACACUCGGAGAGAUUGAGGUCUGCAGCGUAGAUCCUUCGGGGUUAGAUACAUUUGUGCUAAGUUGUAGCUUUUCAUAGACAACUUGUUGACUAUGUUUAGUCAUGCGGCUUACUCGCUUAUGCUAUUUUACCUACGCUUAGGAUGUUGAGUAGCGACAUACGCAC